UACGUAGGGCGCAAGCGUUGUCCGGAAUUAUUGGGCGUAAAGAGCUCGUAGGCAGCUUGUCACGUCGGUUGUGAAAGCCCGGGGCUUAACCCCGGGUCUGCAGUCGAUACGGGCAGGCUAGAGUGUGGUAGGGGAGAUCGGAAUUCCUGGUGUAGCGGUGAAAUGCGCAGAUAUCAGGAGGAACACCGGUGGCGAAGGCGGAUCUCUGGGCCAUUACUGACGCUGAGGAGCGAAAGCGUGGGGAGCGAACAGG
rnacentral:rRNA from 1 species